UUCAUUGUCUGCUAUGUUUAUCAGAGCUGGUGAUUGAUGUGGCCCUGGCUACAGUGAGUGUAGGUCUGAUGAGGGGACUCCCACAGCGGGUGAUGAGGUCAGAUGAGAGGUUGUCGGACUUCCCCGUCACCACAUUCACUUAUUCUAUCACAUACCAGUUCCUCCAUGAUCAAAUACCUGCUGGAGAGAACCUGGACAGUGAGCCUGCGUUUUCUUGUAGUGAAACAUAUCAAGAACCACAUCAGAACUGUGAACCACUCAGUGGAACAUUGUUUGUAACACCAGAGAAAACCUGCUGUGUUUCCAAACACAAAACAACCAAACUGCCGUGGUCAGAGUGUUUGGACUUCAGCGACACACAAAAGUUUUCCGUCACUUCUCUGGGAGAAUUCAAAACAUUUCUGAAUCAAGGACUUUGUCUCACUCUGGAGGAGGAAAAGGUUCUGUGGUGGCCUGCAGCCUCUGAGGAGGUCCAACCAGUGAAGGAGAAGAAGGCUGGGAAAGAGGAGAUUCCAGUUAAACCAGGUUCAACCAAAGGUAAAAAGAAGAAACCUACACAGGAGCUGGUACAGGACGCCCCCAUCAGGAGGCUCCUGGGUACUGCACAUGUCCCCCUGCAAAGCCUGGUUAGAGGAGGGAAAAGGGUCCACAUGGUCUGUGACUUUGGUCUCCUAUCUAGUGACUCCGAGGAGGAACAUACAACACAGAAUGGGAAGGAUGAGGAAAGAAAGGAAAAAAAAAAGGAGAUGCCAAAACAGAGAAGAGGAAAGAAAGCAGCCUCAUCAAAAGUCCAGAAGGAGCAGGAUGAGGCUGUUAAACCAGAAAGGCCAGUGUGUGUCCAUCAGGAGCCUGUCACUGUGGAGCUGAGUGUGGAGCUGAGCAGAUGGAGCUCAGUGUCUGAAGCUCAUCAGAUGUUCUCAACAUGUUCUCCUUAAACCCGUAGAGCUGCUGCUAAGCUGAGGACACCAUAGUGCUCUUUACCUUUAACCAAUCAUCAUAAAAUCAUGUGCUGUGGCAGCUUUUUCUUCCCUUAGGAUCAUUGAGGAUUUUUGUACCAGGUGUGUUAUGUAUGUGAUUAUAAUAUGUAUGGGGUGACAAUUGUAAAGUUGUGCAUGCUAAAAUAAACAGCAACUUUUUGCAUCA
rnacentral:lncRNA from 1 species